CUUCAUGUAACUUAGUGAAGCCUUUCUUCCUAUUCUGUGACAAGAAAUAGCAGAAAUGGAUGUAGGUACAGGAAAGUUAAGGGAGAGCUGAGCCAUUCUUCUUCCUCUUUCUUCUUCUUCUUGUACUAGUUUUACAGGUUUUAUCAGCUCUUAACAUAGUGAUGAGUCCAAGUUGGUUAUAAUUUGUGCCUCCAGAUUAUUAAUGGAAGUGAUAGGAAAGAUAUGCAACCAUGGGAAACUAAGUUCUUCUGCUCAUUUGCUGCUAUCAGAAACAAACGGUAGUUUCUUGUCUAUGUAAAAUGCCCCCAUUUCCCUGUCACAGUCGUCCAACUUGUCCCAAAAUCAGAUAUGGCACUAUGCUUUCAUGAUGAAGCUAUGUAUUUUCUGGGUUAUUAAUGGUAUUAAUUGAGUUAAUAACACUCAAAAACCAUGAUUUAAUUAUACAAGAGCUCAUAUCAUUCAACAGCUUCCAUUAUGGUUACCAUCAACAGUUUAAUGUUGGCAAUUCUUUCCAAAAAUAUGAUAUUCAAUACCUUUCCCAUUGUAUGGAAUAUUAAUUGAAUGUGUGUGUAAGAGUUUAUCUGCCAUGUGAAACAGGAUGAAAAUUGCAGACAGCUACACGACUGAUUAAAGCAAUGAAUAUAUUCGUCGGUUUAUCCUUUAGAGGGAUGGGCAUCCCCCCUUUACCAGCAAACUGUUUUCCUCAUCCAUCACCAUGCAACUGCCAUACCUUACCUAGUAUUCAUCCUGCAUAAAAUGCUGUGCCCAAAGUCUCCCACCACCCCCAGUUGGAGUUUCAACAGCAAUUCAAACACAGUUUUUGCAGGGGAUGGAUGCAUGUUCUUCUUGAACUCGUUUUAUCCGUUUCUUAAAAUGAAAAUGUCUUCCAUUUCCAAAUUGGCCACUCAUAAUCAAAGGGAUCAAUUAAAUUUCAAAGCAGGAGGAGUAGUGCUGAAUGAUAGAAGAGGUAGCUGCAAGAUGAAGCGAGAGGCUUCAAAGCAUAGUUAGUGGUUGACAAACCUCGUCGGCUUCUUGGUGGAGGAUCACCUCAUGAUUCGAGCCAUAAAACGGGAGUUAGGUGGUUGAUGUCCAAAUGAUGGGUCAGGUUUCAUGGACCACAAAACCUGACCAUGCUACCAAACUGAUUGGUACACGAGUCCAUUUACCCACAAAAGCCCAUCAAACAACUACUACCAUGUUUUCAUUAAAUUGCAGUCACUGUCUCGCCCAAAAGUUGGAUUUGCCCCAUGUACUUUAACCCGUUAUAUCGUCUGUUUCAUUUUGGCUCGCUACUUUCGUAGUAUUUUAUCUCACAAAAGAG
rnacentral:lncRNA from 1 species